GGAAGAGCAAGAGAAAAAGGGUUGAAGAAGGGAAAAGCUUGAAGUUAAAGGAUUUGCCGGAUUAACUCAGGUAAGGGGGGUUUAUCAUCGUUUAAUGGGCAUUAUGGGUUAACAUGUAAUGGGUAGUAAUAAGCCAUUGAAUUGACUCUAAUCAGGAUGAUGAAUGCUGCAAAUUGUGAACUUAUGGAUGAAUGAGAUAUGGGUUUAUAAUUGAAG
rnacentral:lncRNA from 1 species